CUGGAUUAAAGCUCCUUUUGUAUUUAAUGAAAUCACAGCAGAGCGGAUUCAGAGGGAGGCGGACGUUCCUGUAAAACUUGAUGAACUUCCUCCUCAUUACAUUAAACUGAAGAAGAAAGACUUCCUGAACUCACGGAGACUUCAUCCAGACGCUCCCUCCAUCAUCAUCAUCAUUAAUUUACCCUCUCAGCUCCGAAACGCUCCUUCAACAAACCUCCACCCACGGAGUCUUCUCUGAACCAGAACCCCGUCAGACCCGUUUCCAAUAUUCGAUCAGAAACGGUCAUUAAUCAGAUUAACCAGUGAAGCACAGAGGGACCCUCAUUGGUCAGCACAGCUGUCAAUCAUAGUUAUGUCACUUCUAUGUCAGACUCUGAGUCUGAAAUUCAUCUGGAACAAAGUCGGAUUUACAAUUUAGGAAAGUCAGACGAUCCUCGCCGACCCCGACUUGACGACGACCUCAUAAUCCAAGAUGGCAGCGCAGAGCAUCAGCAGUAAAGAGUAACAGUAAAAGCUCUCUUCAUGUUUUAUUUAUCAGCACUUCAGUUUUAAGUGAAAUUAGAUAAGUGGUUCAUGUUGUUCUGCUCAGUGUCUGACUGUGAACACGGUGCGAUGAUGUUGGUAGAGUAAAAUACUGUGUCGUGCGUUUAUUCACAACUGGUAUCGCUAACAACAGCUGACAACGGCCAACGACAGCUGACAAAUGUAAACAACAGCUGAUAACGAGUAACUGCAGGCGUCCACCUCGGCUUUCCGACUUGUUUACGUCAUUCCCAGCUCUGACAUCCGACCUCCGAGGAAACUGGAACGCAUCAUAAAAACUAAACUAGUCAUUAACAAACAGUGUCACAUGACUCAUCCACAGAGGAGGCGGGGUUUAUGACAGUGCUGCAGACAGCCAGCAGGGGGAGCUCUGAAUGUUCUGACUUCACAGCUGUUGUCAGACGAUCUUCACCGCUCAAACUAACAGACUCUCACUUUGACCUCAGAGUCGGUUAGUUUGUGUGGAAACGACUCAAAAUACUGAAGAAAUUAAGGAGCUGAACGGACCUUCAGUGACGAACCUCAGAGCGCUAUGAAAAAAGGUUACUAUGAGAAGGUUACUAUGAGAAAUUUACUGUAAGAAUGUUACUAUGAAAAGUAACAAAAAGAAGGUAAUUAUGAGAAGGUAGAUAUGAAAAUAUUACUAUGAGAAGGUUACGAUGAGAAAUUUACUGUAAGAAUGUUACUAUGAUAAGUAACAAUAAGUGGGUAAAUAUGAGAAGGUAGAUAUGAGAAUGUUAAUAUGAGAAAGUAACUAUGAGAAGUUUACUAUAAGAAUUUCACCAUGAGAAUGUAACUAUGAGAAGAUAUUAAUGAGAAUGUUAAUAUCUCAUGUAAAUAUGAGAAGGUAGAUAUGAGAAUGUUACUAUGGGAAGAAACUAUAAGUGGGUAACUAUUACAAGGUAAAUAUGAGAAGGCAACUACAAGAAGGUAGAUAUGAGAAUGAUAGUAUGAGAAGGAAAUUGUGAGGGGGUAACUAUGAGAAAGUUACUAUGAAAAGGUUAUAUAAGUGGGUAAAUAUGAGAAGGUAGAUAUGAGGGUUACUAUAAG